rnacentral:RNase_P_RNA from 1 species
CAUGCAGAUCACCUUAUCGCUGUUCUGAUGCUUCAGAAGAGAGGAAAGUCCGGACACCAUAGCGCAGUAUAGCGGGUAACGCCCGUCCGUCGAAAGACGAGGACAAGUGCAACAGAAAGAAUGUACAGGUAAUGCUGUAGUGAAAUCAGGUAAACUCUAUAUGGUGCAACGUCAUGUAUACCGACUUUUAAGGGUUGCGCGCCCGAUGUCGGAGGGUAGGCGGUUGGAGUUAACAAGUAAUUGUUAAUCUAGAUAAAUGAUAAGGAGCUUUAUUAAUAAAGUUACAGAAUCCGGCUUAUGAUCUGCUUUUAUU